UUUGCUACCAAAACCAAUCAGAAUCCUUUCUGAUCACGUGCCGAUUAGGGCCAAUCAGGAGAGGGAGGAUACGACGACGCCAUCUAGCGCUCGAUAGUGUGACUCCUUAAAUAAUAACAAUUUACAGAGGACAGGGAAUUUGACAGACAGAAAUGGCCGACGUCUGCGGUGUGACAGGUUUAAGUUUUAACAUUCCCAGUGUGAUUUAUCAAAUUUCGGUUUACGUAUGCCAAGAACAGGACGUAGGUUGUGCAGUUGCAACCAAAUGUCAGGCAACUCACAUUAGAAAAUUGAAUGUUAAGCUUUCAUCUCUUUUUAUGCUGCAACAGUUGCAACAUUUUUGGAUAAUCCUUUUUCGUGGUUAAUGUUAGAAGCAAGAGAUAGGAAGGAUAAAAGGGAGAACGGGGUCAACUUGGACACGGGUCAUAUUGGACAAAGACUCUAAGUGCUACAUGUUAU